AUUAGUUCCAGGACAGAGGGUUGUAGGCAGGGGGUAUUGAUCUCUCUGUAGCUGCACAGGUUGCAAGCGAAGGAGAGAUCAAUGCAAGAUAUUGUUUUCAUAAGACAAGUGAUGAAAGUAAAUUUCUAAGUUUAACCCCUUAAUGACAGUGGGUGUUCUAUGCCGUCCUUGGGGACCCAGCUCUAAACGCCGGCGGGUGGCAUAGAGUGCCCAAGCUGUCCUAGGUUACCCAGUCGCCGGCGAUCCCACGCCGGUGAUCGCGCUGGAGGACUCACCAGGCAUCCCACGGAGUCCCCCUGCUUCCAUUCCGGCCCCC